UACGUAGGGUGCAAGCGUUAAUCGGAAUUACUGGGCGUAAAGCGUGCGCAGGCGGUUUUGUAAGUCUGACGUGAAAUCCCCGGGCUCAACCUGGGAAUUGCGUUGGAGACUGCAAGGCUAGAAUCUGGCAGAGGGGGGAAGAAUUCCACGUGUAGCAGUGAAAUGCGUAGAGAUGUGGAGGAACACCGAUGGCGAAGGCAGCCCCCUGGGUCAAGAUUGACGCUCAUGCACGAAAGCGUGGGGAGCAAACAGG
rnacentral:rRNA from 1 species